rnacentral:lncRNA from 1 species
ACCCUCAACCCUCAUACACCCACUUUCUCUCUCACAGAAAAUUUUUUCUCACAAAAGCUCUCUUUCUAGAAAGACCUCUCUGAACCCCUGAAGUGAUCGUUGUCCGCUGUCCAGGAGCCUCCUGCUUCUUCACCUCUCAGUGCCGUAUUUCUCUCUUCCUUCACGGGUGUUCUCAGGCUCUCUGUGGCAAAAAAUCAAGCCACCACCCCUUUUUCCGUGAUCAGAGCCUUUUAUAGGCCUUAAACCUAGGUUAGAUUAGGAUUAGGAAUCCUAAUCAGGCCUAAAUAAUAGCCCAAAA